GAGCUUGCUCUUAUGAAGUUAGCGGCGGACGGGUGAGUAACACGUGGGUAACCUGCCCAUAAGACUGGGAUAACUCCGGGAAACCGGGGCUAAUACCGGAUAACAUUUUGAACCGCAUGGUUCGAAAUUGAAAGGCGGCUUCGGCUGUCACUUAUGGAUGGACCCGCGUCGCAUUAGCUAGUUGGUGAGGUAACGGCUCACCAAGGCAACGAUGCGUAGCCGACCUGAGAGGGUGAUCGGCCACACUGGGACUGAGACACGGCCCAGACUCCUACGGGAGGCAGCAGUAGGGAAUCUUCC
rnacentral:rRNA from 1 species